GGGCCUGUUCGGGUCGCUAAUGUAGGGAGGUAAUUGGUGGGGGUGUAUUCCUGGUAUGAUUCCGUAUUCAAUGUUCUGUUCCGUGUUCCGUGUUCUAUGUUUGUUACGAAUCUGUGUGCUUUCCUCUGCUUUAUAUUCCUGCAUCCCUGCUUUACUCUGUUUUAUAUUCCUUAUGGCGGCAGUAUCUAUGUUAUGUCAUCUGCUUCUGUGCUGUACUAUGUGUUUGUUUGAUAUCUCGUAACUUGAGCCGGGGGUC
rnacentral:lncRNA from 1 species